rnacentral:tRNA from 1 species
GCGUUGUUAGCUCAGCCGGACAGAGCAAUUGCCUUCUAAGCAAUCGGUCACUGGUUCGAAUCC